GGGCCGUUAGCUCAGCUGGUAGAGCGCUACAUUCGCAUUGUAGAGGUCGUCGGUUCGACUCCGAUACGGUCCAC
rnacentral:tRNA from 15 species